rnacentral:rRNA from 1 species
ACCUGGUUGAUUCUGCCAGUAGUCAUAUGCUUGUCUCAAAGAUAAGCCAUGCAGAAUGAGUUGUCAAG